CAAUGACAACAUCUGCAUGAGGGUCUGGGCUACAAUUGAAGCUGUUACCAUGGGAACAGGUGCAAAAGCAUCAAGCGGGAGGGAGAAGGCAGUGAUGAAAGGUGGGAAAGCGGGAGAGAGUAUUUUUAGAUCACUUAGGAGGAAUGCUACGCAAUUACAUCAUCCUAUCUCAUUAUUUGCACCCAUGCUGCACAAUGCAUCGCAGCGUCUGCCUCAGGCUGUUAAAUGGGAAAACGUUAUUAUGGAUGUGAAUUAUAAAAUCUGAGGUGAAACUUGAGCUCAGGAGUUAUUAGACAUCACUAUUCUGUAAUAAAGGAGAGCAUUUAAUACACUGUGCUCUACGGAUUCACUGUACGGUGCAAGAAGCACUGUGUCUACAAUUUUAAUAUUCCCAGAAAGUAAUUAUGACUCAUCUUUUUAUUGUUAUUAAGAAGCAGAGUGCAAAUAAUUUUACACAUUUGAUAUCCCACACAUCAACAAGCCUUUUGCGCUGGAGAAACAUGGCCUAAUUUUCCAGAGUGCUGCGUGCCAACGUGCUCUGAGUGAAUGUGGUAGUAGUUGUAGAUGCUCAGCACUGCCAAAAAUCCAGCCAUCCAUGGCACAUGUGAAAGAAGCCUCAUUAAUCUCAAAAAUACAAAGCAUACAUUUCACUGCCUGUGUUCAGCUCCUUAGGGAGGGACAGCCCUCUUUUACAGUUAAGGACCCAGCAGAUACCCAUGCAUUUGCUGAAUAUAGCCCUGAUUCAGGGAGAAAACAAAAAUAAGACUCUCAGACACCACUCCUGGCUGACAAACAGAGGGGAGAGCCUCCAGCCUGGAGAGUUGAAACAAGCUGGGGCUCUUCUACCUUGUGCCAAGAUGUGGGUGCCUGGAUCCCACUGCACUGGAGAGGCUGGAAUCGCUAUUACUGUCACACCGCUGGUGGUGAAGUUGGAAGGAUAAACCCAGAGAAAUGUGUUUCUUGUGACUGCAAAACUCUGAGCCUGCUCUCUGCCCUGGAAUAAGCAUCAGUAAAUGCCGUCCUCAGCCAGAGUGUCCAGGGCCACUGGAGCCUGUCACUGGAGAUGGGCAGGGACUGAAAUUCCUAAUCCAUGCUGAUGCCCAGUGAUGCUGUCAAAAUACCACUGGGUGAGUGACAGGGCUUGCCCUAGCUUUUGCCCUGUGCGAAGCGAAGCACGUGGGCCCUCAGCCAUUUGUUUUCACACUUCAGACUAACCCCAGCGUCAGCGGGCGAGAACAGGAGGCGGGUAACCGGAGUGGUGCCAGGAUCUAUUGCCAGGGGAGCAGGCAUGGACAGGCAGCGGAGCACAGCCUGGCUGUGAGGAGUGAGCUAGUCUGAUGUCAUUUUGCAGCAGUCCUCCUAGCUCUCCUUCCUCACAGAAGAUCUGAUUGUCUAAAUACAUGAUAAACAGUGAAACAUGCUGACGUAUGUGUGCUACUUCUGAUUCAUCUUCAGGGAGGCAAGAUGAACGUUACCCAACACAGUGUAUCUCAAACUGCCAAGGGUCCCACAGCGCAUGCCUAUGAAGCAGGACUAUAAAAGGUGCUGUUGAUGCCCUAAAUACCCAUUUUAUAAGAGGCAUGACCUCUCUGCAAAAAUCAAGGACCAUUUUAGGACAACAUACAACUUGGGAUGAAGAGUCACUCUGGACACAUAUGGAACUUGCCUGCAUCAUUCCGGGAGCAGCAGGAUGCCAUCCUCUGCCUGGCUCAAUCCUUAGGAGGGAGGAAGGGUGACUUCCCUAAUCCCACAUGUGUCAUGACAACCAGCACCUCCUGGAUGGCCCCUUCCCCACCCUGGACCACCAGCUGCUGCCUUGCUGAUUGCCCAGAUGUCCCCUGAUCUGCUGCUGCCAGCCCAGUCCUUCUCCAUGAUGUUGGUAUCCUCUUCAGUCCUCCUUCUGUGUACUGUGCCCUCCCCUGUAUUGAAUUUCACUGUAUUGAUCUCAGACCAUUUCUCCCAUUUGUCAAGAUCACUUUGAUUUCUAGCCCUCCAAAGUGCUUUCAAAGUGUGCUUCCCCACCUGGAGGUACCAACAGAUUUUAUAGUGUGCUUUCUAUCCCAUUACCCUCCUUAUUAAUAUUAAA